UGGGGAAUAUUGCACAAUGGGCGCAAGCCUGAUGCAGCCAUGCCGCGUGUGUGAAGAAGGCCUUCGGGUUGUAAAGCACUUUCAGCGAGGAGGAAGGUGGUGAACUUAAUACGUUCAUCAAUUGACGUUACUCGCAGAAGAAGCACCGGCUAACUCCGUGCCAGCAGCCGCGGUAAUACGGAGGGUGCAAGCGCUAAUCGGAAUUACUGGGCGUAAAGCGCACGCAGGCGGUUUGUUAAGUCAGAUGUGAAAUCCCCGGGCUCAACCUGGGAACUGCAUUUGAAACUGGCAAGCUAGAGUCUCGUAGAGGGGGGUAGAAUUCCAGGUGUAGCGGUGAAAUGCGUAGAGAUCUGGAGGAAUACCGGUGGCGAAGGCGGCCCCCUGGACGAAGACUGACGCUCAGGUGCGAAAGCGUGGGGAGCAAACAGG
rnacentral:rRNA from 1 species